GCCAGGCAUGGUAUCGCAUGCCUGUAAUCCUAGUGGCUCUGGAGGCUCAGACAGGAGAAUCGCAAGUUCAAAGCCAGCCUCAGCAAAGACCAGGUGCUAAGCAACUCAAUGAGACCCUGUCUCUA
rnacentral:sRNA from 1 species